ACUCGAGUGGCGAACGGGUGAGUAACACGUGGGUGAUCUGCCCUGCACUUCGGGAUAAGCCUGGGAAACUGGGUCUAAUACCGGAUAGGAGCCAUUUUUAGUGUGAUGGUUGGAAAGUUUUUCGGUGUAGGAUGAGCUCGCGGCCUAUCAGCUUGUUGGUGGGGUAAUGGCCUACCAAGGCGGCGACGGGUAGCCGGCCUGAGAGGGCGGACGGCCACAUUGGGACUGAGAUACGGCCCAG
rnacentral:rRNA from 1 species